GACUAUUAGAGGUGUGGCAAAUUUGCGCCUCAUGGUGCCUUCACUGCCUUGAAGUUGAUGGAUAGUAGCAACAAGCCCAGUAAUAAAGGUAGAGAGAAGAGACAGCUUGGAGCGGCUAGUAUCAUUCUAGAACUACCCAAUGAGCCUGUGAGACAAGUACAAAGAUGGCUAAUAAGAGAACCCCAGCGUGGUUAGUGUAGCAUUUACUGACUUAAAUUAUUUGAGUUAUGGUUUUUGAAAAAAUUCCUGUACUAUA